GGGGGGUGUUUGGGGGUUUGUGGUGGUGGUGGGAAGGGGAGGAGAGAAAAGCAAUAAUGAUACAUACAAAAAGAGGCAUUUGAAAAUUAUUAAGCUAACAACCAGGCAAAUAGGCAGGGCAACUGCAUUCCACCUAAAAUCAAGUUAUUCAAAUAUAAAAAUAUCAUAAACAAUUUGGAUUCCUUGUGUACUAAACAAGAAUUGGCAUUCUAUUCCAAGAAUUGAAUUUCACUCCCAUUUCCAGAGGGAACCAAAUGUGGCCCGUGAAUGGAACCAAGAAACUGAAAAGCCACUUACAUACACACAUCAAGAAAAUAAGCAGAUGAACUAGCACAAAAUCAUGACAAGCGAACACAUUAAAGGGUCAACUAGUAUCCUUGCAACAACUCAUACAAGCAAGAUAGAUGGAGACAGAAUCAUUUGAAAUGUUAUUGGCACCACAUCUGUAGUAGAACAAUCCUAAAAAUUCGAACAGUGAGGAACAGAAGAUUUUCAAGAGAAUGUAUGAUAAAACAUUUUCCAAUUUUCACAUAAACAAUCGCUUGAUCGAUUUCGUUAUAAAGAAGCACAACAACUAACUAUAUAAUAAUCGAAACAAACUAACAAAAGGGCAAUGGGAAAUCAAAUUAGUCCUAAAUAAAUUGACCUACAGCAACAUUUGCACAAUAACCCUGCAACAAUCAUAUUAAUCAUGACAAAGAAAAGAGAGCACUGAAUAGUAAAUGAUAUACCUUUGUGACGGUCUUCCUCUUCUUGUCCAGCUUCACCUUGUUAGCCUUGACGCGCUGGACCUCAGCCAAAAGUGACAUCCUCCUAACAGUCUUAGAAUAGGGAGUUUAGCUUUAGCAUCACAUUCAAAUUCUUGAGAGGAUUCUACUUCAAUGUAGCCCUCUUCACCUCCUUCUUUAUCGGCUUCACUACGGACUGCAUCUCAUCAGAGUUGAUGAUCCUAGC
rnacentral:misc_RNA from 1 species